GACGAACGCUGGCGGCGUGCUUAACACAUGCAAGUCGAACGGAAAGGCCCUGCUUUUGUGGGGUGCUCGAGUGGCGAACGGGUGAGUAACACGUGAGUAACCUGCCCUUGACUUUGGGAUAACUUCAGGAAACUGGGGCUAAUACCGGAUAGGAGCUCCUGCUGCAUGGUGGGGGUUGGAAAGUUUCGGCGGUUGGGGAUGGACUCGCGGCUUAUCAGCUUGUUGGUGGGGUAGUGGCUUACCAAGGCUUUGACGGGUAGCCGGCCUGAGAGGGUGACCGGCCACAUUGGGACUGAGAUACGGCCCAGACUCCUACGGGAGGCAGCAGUGGGGAAUAUUGCACAAUGGGCGGAAGCCUGAUGCAGCAACGCGGCGUGCGGGAUGACGGCCUUCGGGUUGUAGGCCGCUUUCGCCUGUGACGAAGCGUGAGUGACGGUAAUGGGUAAAGAGGCACCGGCUAAAUACGUG
rnacentral:rRNA from 1 species